UCGUGUUCGAGCAAGGAAGUCGACUGGCGACUGCUUCGUGUGGAAUAAAAACAGACCGCAUAUUGGUUCCCGUCUAAUUACAAGAAUUGCAAAUUGUUUUAUUGCCGAGGUAUACCUUCGUUUUUUGAUCUAUGAUCGGUUGGCUGGUGUAUAAACUCGACGGUGCAUUGACAGAGACAACAAGUCCGAAACUCUAACCAACAAGCGACUCGCUUAUACGAUGUCGAUUCAGAUUACGAUUUGACUAUUGCUGACAAUAGAUGCGGUCGUCUCAUUGCGAGCUACGGUAAUUGGAUUUCCCACGAGAAAUGUGAUCACUUGAAGUUCUUCUUCUUCUUCUUCUUCUCAGCGCUAUCGCGGCAUUGCGAGAAGGAACAAGUAGCAAUUCGACUUGAAUGCAAUCCAUUUCCGACAGCUAGGAGAAACUUCAUCGCUCAUUGACCGACGGAACUGUGGAUAUUACUUGGUCAAAGUCUACUCUGCUGCACCUGCUAACGAGCCUGGAUACCUACACUGAAAUCUGAGAAGAGGAGUCGAUCCCUCGUUGUUUUACGUUGACAUUGGACGCUGUGUGGACCGUUAGACAACCUGGGCUCAAAACGCGAAGACCGACUCCCGUUGUAGCAGCACCCGACUUUCAUCUCCAGCGACCCCGUGGUCGAAGCGCUGCAAUCCAUACAUCAGAAGCCACUGCUACAUUCUUAGUGGUAUACCGUGCACAUGCAUGGUGCUCAUAACGCCGAGGAGUAGGAGCAAGCCACCGGGUACGGUUAAGCCCAUUACACAAUGUGACGUGAACGUAGGGAAUAUGAGAAUACUAUAGUACAUGUAUUGAUAGAAAUGGUACAAGACCCGAGAGUCUUGUUGCAGUUGCGAACAAUCAACUUGCUCGCAUCUAACGUAGUUUCAAGGAGUACGUACUCGCGACGUCGCCAUGGUAGCCGCCAAUCGAACAUUUGCUUUCAGACGAAUCGUUAUUCCGUCUAAAUUUAUCAAGAUAUGUAAAGGUAAAAAAUCUCAAGUAAAAUUGAAGAAAGAAAUAAUUAGUUCGACGAACGAUCAAAACUUCAUCCACAUCUAUAUGGGUCGACAACGAAAAGAACCUCUGGGUUUUCUCAGCGGCUGCAGCGAACGAUAUCGAUAAGAGGACUGUAUACAUGUCGAUAUGUGAAUGGAUAUGGACUUAAAGAUGAUAGAUAUGUAUACUGUGUAUAGAUAUAUAGCAACACGGGCACGGGUAAGCGGAUAAGUAGAGUGUAUUUGGCGUGGGUGUUACGAAACGAUUUCGUUACCCAAGAUCUCGUGUCCGGCGCGGCUCGGUUUCUCUUUGUUCCGCUGGCUUGUUUCUGAAUAUUUUAUACACUUUAGACGAUCUAGCCUCUGCAGAGCUUCCCGCUUCAGCUUGGCUCCGCCAUCCUCCUCCUCCUCCUCCUCCUCCGACUCCUUCUUUAUUCUUCCUUUUCCUAAGCUGCCUGCCUGCCUCCAUCGACCUGACUUCUUCGUCCAGCCGCAAGUGACGUUACGAGUCACUGUUCACGGUAGGAAUACACCUACAUGGCGAUUGUAUACAUAGGUGUAUGUGGAUAAGAAACGGACCAGUUGGUCUCCACGAAAAGAAUCGAUCUUUAAAAUUACACCUUAACGAUGUGUAAUGGAUCUCAACAUUUACCUCAUAUUUUCGACUUGUUUUGAACCUUUAUUUAUUGUGGUCGUAGGAAGACACCGAGACCAUAAACGUGGCACGAAGUACCAUUUUCGUCUACUGGUCAAAUCGACCGUAAAACGGGAUGAUGGAAGGGUACUAUUGACGAAAGUAUCGACCAUUCUGAAACAAAUGUCAGACAAUCAGUGUAAUAUUGUUUUUUUCUUUUCUUUAAUUUGUUACUUGUUGCCAGCGUGAAAGUUUUGGGCAAAACCCUUUCAAUGGAAGCAUCCAUUCGUAUACUUGAUGAAAUUUCCACAUAGGAAAUGGUUUUUAGGACCGUUGUGACAGUGAAAAGUAGCAGUUUGUCACAAGAUUGACAAAAAAGAAUCUCCUGGUUUUUCGAUUCAAGUUCUUUGGGAAUGAUUGGCAGAUUACUGAGAGCACCGAUCUUCCUGCAACUGCGCUAUACUUUCAAAUAAAUUUUAUCGUUUAACUGACAUUUGGAAGCCUGCUUACAAUACAAAUUGCAUGAGUCACUCGAAAUUGACCACUCUGCAGGUUCCACGUACCUACCCACCAAUACCUAUACCUACUGUUACAUGUUCUGCACGCCUGUGCCUUUCAUCGUAGCGGCUUCAUACUUGUUGAAGGAAUUAAUCAGCAUUCACGGUUCGCGCAACCCAACAAAAACAACGUAACAAAAGCAACAACAAUGACGACGAUCUCGGGUGAAUCACGAAUAAAGUAAGCGAAGUAAGCGAUCGUCAUGACGUAUUCGUCAAUCAUUACUGUCA
rnacentral:lncRNA from 1 species